rnacentral:ncRNA from 1 species
UUAAUUGAUGGGGCUUGGUAUGGAAACCUACCGAGUGAUAACUUUCAAAUUCAGAGAAACCCUGGAAUUAGAAAUGGGCAAUCCUGAGCCAAAUCCUGUUUUCUGAAAACAAACAAGGAUUCAGAAAGUGAUAAUAAAAAAAGGGGGGGGAUAGGUGCAGAGACUCAACGGAAGCUGUUCUAACAAAUGGAGUUGGCUGCGGCGCGUUAGUAAAGGAAUCCUUCUAUCGAAACUCCAGAAAGGGUGAAGAAUAAACCUAUAUCUACGUAUACGUACUAAAAUAGUAUCUCCAAACCAAAUGAUUAAUGACGACCCGAAUCUUUUUUUUUUUUUAUUUAUAUGGUUAGAUGAAAAACGAAAGAAUUGUUGUGAAUCGAUUCCAAGUCAAAGAAAAUGGAAUAUUCAUUGAUCAAAUCAUUUACUCCAUCGUAAUCUGAUAGAUCUUUUGAAAAAUUGACUAAUCGGACGAGAAUAAAGAUAGAGUCCCAUUCUACAUGUCAAUAUCGGCAACAAUGAAAUUUAUAGUAAGAGGAAAAUCCGUCGACUUUAUAAAUCGUGAGGGUUCAAGUCCCUCUAUCCCCA